UGGGAAUCUGCCCAGUCGUGGGGAUAACGUAGGGAAACUUACGCUAAUACCGCAUGCGCCCUUCGGGGGAAAAGCCGGGGACCGUAAGGCCUGGCGCGAUUGGAUGAGCCCAUGUCGGAUUAGCUAGUUGGCGGGUAAAGGCCCACCAAGGCGACGAUCCGUAGCUGGGUCUGAGAGGAUGAUCAGCCACACUGGAACUGAGACACGGUCCAGACUCCUACGGGAGGCAGCAGUAGGGAAUAUUGGACAAUGGGCGCAAGCCUGAUCCAGCCAUGCCGCGUGAGUGAAGAAGGCCCUCGGGUUGUAAAGCUCUUUUGUCCGGAAAGAAAAGCGCCGGGUUAAUACCCUGGUGUCCUGACGGUACCGGAAGAAUAAGCACCGGCUAACUUCGUG
rnacentral:rRNA from 1 species